rnacentral:rRNA from 1 species
UUAAAUUGAAGAGUUUGAUCAUGGCUCAGAUUGAACGCUGGCGGCAGGCCUAACACAUGCAAGUCGAACGGUAACAGGAAUCAGCUUGCUGAUUCGCUGACGAGUGGCGGACGGGUGAGUAAUGUCUGGGAAACUGCCUGAUGGAGGGGGAUAACUACUGGAAACGGUAGCUAAUACCGCAUAACGUCGCAAGACCAAAGAGGGGGACCUUCGGGCCUCUUGCCAUCGGAUGUGCCCAGAUGGGAUUAGCUAGUAGGUGGGGUAACGGCUCACCUAGGCGACGAUCCCUAGCUGGUCUGAGAGGAUGACCAGCCACACUGGAACUGAGACACGGUCCAGACUCCUACGGGAGGCAGCAGUGGGGAAUAUUGCA